UACAGGGGGUGCAAACGUUGCUCGGAAUCAUUGGGCGUAAAGCGCACGUAGGCGGUUCGUUAUGUCGGAUGUGAAAGCCCUUGGCUUAACCGAGGAAGUGCAUCCGAAACUGGCGAGCUAGAGUACUAAAGAGGAUCGCGGAAUUCCCGGUGUAGAGGUGAAAUUCGUAGAUAUCGGGAGGAACACCGGUGGCGAAGGCGGCGAUCUGGGUAGAUACUGACGCUGAGAAGCGAAAGCGUGGGGAGCAAACAGG
rnacentral:rRNA from 1 species